rnacentral:rRNA from 1 species
UACGGAGGGUGCGAGCGUUAAUCGGAAUUACUGGGCGUAAAGCGUGCGCAGGCGGUUCGUCGUGUCCGAUGUGAAAGCCCCGGGCUCAACCUGGGAAUGGCAUUGGAAACUGGCGGGCUUGAGUGUGGCAGAGGGGGGUGGAAUUCCGCGUGUAGCAGUGAAAUGUGUAGAGAUGCGGAGGAACACCGAUGGCGAAGGCAGCCCCCUGGGCUAACACUGACGCUCAGGCACGAAAGCGUGGGGAGCAAACAGG